UACGGAGGGGGCUAGCGUUGUUCGGAAUCAUUGGGCGUAAAGGGCGCGUAGGCGGCCGAUCAAGUCGGAGGUGAAAUCCCUCGGCUCAACUGAGGAAUUGCCUUCGAUACUGUUCGGCUUGAGUCCUGGAGAGGGUAGCGGAAUUCCCGGUGUAGCGGUGAAAUGCGUAGAGACCGGGAAGAACACCAGUGGCGAAGGCGGCUACCUGGACAGGUACUGACGCUGAAGC
rnacentral:rRNA from 1 species